GUGAGAUUACAGCACACUCUAUGUGAAACAGAAAACACUUACAAGACUACGUAAUAUCCGUAGUCAGGAGACCGCACUCCACAUUUUCAUCACAAGAUUAAAACAGCGACAGCCGUAGUUAUCCUGUUACAUGGUGCUACAUAACCUAUGCAGUUGAAAAUCUUACACCCUUGCAUACAGUGUAGUGUAUUGGAAUAUAAAAUGUGCAUACAAAUAACUGUUUACACUAAGUAGUAUACAGUUGAAAAAUAGUAUUAAUCAAAUACAGAAACAAACAUUUUAAUCACGAGGGCAGAACAAGUAAUUUCAUAAUUUAAAUUUCACAAACUCUAACUAUUACAAUAGUUUUAAUAGUGUUAUUGUACAUAUUCGUAGCUUACCAUCAAAGAGUUCUUCGCCGACUCUGGGCCGCAACACUGUUAAUUUCUGUCAUGAGCAAAUUGAUCUCCAAUUUCAUGUCAUGCUCUGUAUAGAAGUAUGAUGAUAUAUAUACCAUACUUCCAUACAUUAUUCCUGAAACUGGAACAAAAAUGUAUGAAAUCAAAGUAGACAUUUAAACAAGAUACUGCUUCAAGGAUAUUGAUAAGACAUUUUUUUACGAAAUUAAACUGUUCCUAUCAAUCCCA